rnacentral:rRNA from 1 species
UCUUGGUCAUUUAGAGGAAGUAAAAGUCGUAACAAGGUUUCCGUAGGUGAACCUGCGGAAGGAUCAUUAAAGAAAUUUAAUAAUUUUGAAAAUGGAUUUUUUUGUUUUGGCAAGAGCAUGAGAGCUUUUACUGGGCAAGAAGACAAGAGAUGGAGAGUCCAGCCGGGCCUGCGCUUAAGUGCGCGGUCGUGCUAGGCUUGUAAGUUUCUUUCUUGCUAUUCCAAACGGUGAGAGAUUUCUGUGCUUUUGUUAUAGGACAAUUAAAACCGUUUCAAUACAACACACUGUGGAGUUUUCAUAUCUUUGCAACUUUUUCUUUGGGCAUUCGAGCAAUCGGGGCCCAGAGGUAACAAACACAAACAAUUUUAUCUAUUCAUUAAAUUUUUGUCAAAAACAAGAAUUCUCGUAACUGGAAAUUUUAAAAUAUUAAAAACUUUCAACAACGGAUCUCUUGGUUCUCGCAUCGAUGAAGAACGCAGCGAAAUGCGAUACGUAAUGUGAAUUGCAGAAUUCCGUGAAUCAUCGAAUCUUUGAACGCACAUUGCGCCCCUUGGUAUUCCAGGGGGCAUGCCUGUUUGAGCGUCAUUUCCUUCUCAAACAUUCUGUUUGGUAGUGAGUGAUACUCUUUGGAGUUAACUUGAAAUUGCUGGCCUUUUCAUUGGAUGUUUUUUUUCCAAGGAGAGGUUUCUCUGCGUGCUUGAGGUAUAAUGCAAGUACGGUCGUUUUAGGUUUUACCAACUGCGGCUAAUCUUUUUUUAUACUGAGCGUAUUGGAACGUUAUCGAUAAGAAGAGAGCGUCUAGGCGAACAAUGUUCUUAAAGUUUGACCUCAAAUCAGGUAGGAGCANCCGCUGAACUUAAGCAUAUCAAUAAGCGGAGGAA